UGGUGUAAUAUUACAAGAGGUGUGAUCUUUCAGACAUCGAAGAUAACAAUUUGGCCUAACUUUUGUCUGCUUAGAAAACCAACAAACCUCAAAGCAAAUAGUUGCCCAGGGGACCAUUGCUUCAUCUGGACACUUACAUUGUCUGAUCAGUCCUGAACUUCUAAGUGCUCCAGGGUGUAUUUUGAGGGGGUGCAACACGCCAACUUCUCUUGUCUCAGUUGUUGUGGAUUCUCAUCUGGUGAAGCUCAGACCAAGUUCUUCGGUUUAAUGUGAGUGAUUUCAGCUCUUCAAGAUUCAAUAUAGUUUGCGUGAGCUCUUGUUAGUUUGGCUGGUUAAUGUCCGUAUUAAAUCUAUUUUGCUUGAGUUGCCGACGUCUCUGUGAUCCCUGCACUUGAGUGUGCUUGCGACCCUUCAUCUCGACCCGGUUCAGAAAGGUGACCUGAGCAGGAUUUGGCGUCCAACCAGAUCUGGCAAAGCAGAGUGCCGCGGUCAGCUGCGGGAAAGGACCGCGUCUCUCUCUGCCAUCAAGGGAAAUGUAAAAGCCCAGGAAUCAGAGACUGCUGGAACCUGUGAGGUGCAGUUUGGAAUUCGAUCGAAUGAUCUGGUGCUCUGUAGUGUUCGGAGAUGUCUCAUGCAGAAGACCAGAGACAGGGUGAGGGAUCAAGAGCAACCCUAGACCCAGCGUGGCAGUCCCUUUUCACAGAAAGUCUGAGUUCAUGUGACCGGUCUCCUUCAAUGCUGAUGGGAAGAUGUUUUCAAUAUUUUGAGAUUUAUGUUAUUGACUUUGGGGAUUAUUGCUUCAACCGGACCCCUAUGUUGCCUGAUUGGCCCUGAAUUCCUACGUGCUCCAGGAUGCAUUUCAUGUGGGCACUCCAACUUCUGUUUGCUCGGUUGUUAUGGAUCCUUGUCUGGUGAAACGCAGACUGAGAUCUUCUGAGUAUCGAGGAAACUGGAGCACCCGGAGGAAACCGACACUGUCACAGGGAGAACAUACAAACUAUUUACCGACAGCCAUGGGAAUUGAAGCUGGAUUGUUGGCACAGUCAACAACGUAUACCCAAAAUGACAGCAGAGGCCCCCUGCUGCCAACUCUCCACCAUGUACUUCCUUCACACAGGCUGCUCGACCUCCACAAUGCAGCUCCUGCUCAAUUGUACCUUUGCAAUGGUAUACCACACUCUGUGGGCUGAUCAGACCACCCUCCCCUCCACACCUCAUACGGAGGGUCGACUCAUACCUGCUGCAUGGAUAACAAGGCCAAGGGUGGCAGUCAGACUGGAUCCAGCCCCUGAUCUUCUCCACUGUUCUGUAGAGGUAAAAGAAGGAUUAGAUUGGCCAUCAAAGUGUCUGAUCUUCCAACCUGCUGGCAUGAACAUCAAACUCUCAAUUCCUGGUAAUUUCUGCCAUUCAUUCAUUUUUUUUGUGUUCUCCUUUCCUCUUUCCUCCUGGUCCAAUUGCCCCCCAUCACUCUAUCUCUUUCCUCUCCUCCACCCUUUCCAACUGCCAUCACCUGAACACACUGGUUCCCUUCCCAUCUCCUUCCCUUUAUUCUAUGCUCCACUGUCCUCUUCGGUCAGAUUCCAUCUUCCUCAGCCCUUUGUCACAUCCACCUGUCACCUUCCAGCUCUCUCCCUAUCUGCUCGACCUAUCACCCUCCUCAGCUGAAACCACCUCUUACCUACGUACAGCUCCACCCUCCUUGCUUCACUUUUCCACAUGGGAUGUCUCCUUACUUCCUUACAGUCCAGAUAAUGGUCUCAACUUGAAAUGUUGUCUGUCCAUUUCCCUCCAUAGAUGCUCCCUGAACAUCUAGCACUUUCUUCUGGUGCUUUUAUAUGUUGCUCCAAAUUUCCAGCAUCUACACUUUCGCUUGUGUUCAAUUUUCUUCUUUUUUAAUUGAA